rnacentral:rRNA from 1 species
CACGUAUUUAGCCGGAGCUUCUUAGUCAGGUACCGUCAUUAUCUUCCCUGCUGAUAGAGCUUUACAUACCGAAAUACUUCAUCACUCACGCGGCGUCGCUGCAUCAGGGUUUCCCCCAUUGUGCAAUAUUCCCCA